UCAGAGAGGAAAAAAUGUUUCCCUUCUGUGCGGAUGUAGAAAUCUCCAACCCAAGUAAUCCUCACCCUCCUGCUCCUACUGUUUCGCAGGGAACAUCCUGUCUGCUGCAGCCCCCAGCCAAGAAAAUCAUCAGAGAACAGAAGAUGCGACCACAUGCAAGACCCCGCGCCCCCGACCAGCCGUUGCCUCACCAAACCUCCCUUCAACACGCAUCGGGUUUAUACAAACUCCCAACAGGAUUCAGUGGGUCUUGGCAUCGAACAGCAAGUGGACAAUCAUUUGGGCUCCGAGCAAUUACCGGAAAAGUGGCAAGGAAGCGAACAUCAAUUGCUAAUUUUGACUUCUAGAGAAAACAGAUUCUUUCUUGAAAGCUUUGGAAGAAUUAGAAAAAUCAGUACAACAAAUUGUUAUCACAUGGAGAAACCCAAGCUAGCCGAACAAACCUGUGACUACAGAGUCACGUGGUGGGACAGGCUUGAAUAUCAGAAACAGCACAGUGUCUGGGCUAGGUUAUCCUGCUAGAAAGGUUAAAAAGUUGCACACUCAAUGGUUUGGAGUAUCUGAAAAAUCAACAGAGACUUUUCAGCAAGCUUGACAGACAUCUUGCAGUUCCUUUCAUUAAGGGAGCCUCCGGGAGCUCUGUACAAGCCAAUAAGAAAAUGAAUGAAGAUGCUAAAUACAGGAUCAUGGUUUUCUGGCUGUUUUAAAUGAAUCAGCCUGACAGAAACCUUCACCUGAAAAUGAAAGGUAUAUGAAGUUCCCUCCUGUACUUAGUAGAGGAAAAAUCCAGAAGUUUAUUGUACAUUGAGUUCAUUAAGGAUUAUCUUUGAGUGAACUUUGAUUCGUGCAUUAGAAUAUUUAGUGCUGUAGGCUGAGCAACCAGCUUAUUGGCAUUUCCUGAAACUGAUAACAAAUGAACUGAGCAUCUUUCCGCUACAAUAAAGACACACUGUACUGAAGAUAACUUGGGAUAUAAAAGAAGGCUUGGUUUUUAUCAAACUUAUUGUACUCUGUUUUUAUUUAUUGUGGCACUUGUGACUUAAUUUCUGCCUAAUACGCUAAUAAAAUUCCAUACUGUAAUUUA